rnacentral:rRNA from 1 species
UACGUAGGGGGCAAGCGUUGUCCGGAUUUAUUGGGCGUAAAGAGCGUGUAGGCGGCCAGAUAGGUCCGUUGUGAAAACUGGAGGCUCAACCUCCAGACGUCGACGGAAACCGUGUGGCUAGAGUCCGGAAGAGGAGAGUGGAAUUCCUGGUGUAGCGGUGAAAUGCGCAGAUAUCAGGAAGAACACCAAUGGCGAAGGCAGCUCUCUGGGACGGUACUGACGCUGAGACGCGAAAGCGUGGGGAGCGAACAGG